UAUCACGGGAGACACACGGCGGGUGCUAACGUCCGUCGUGAAGAGGGAAACAACCCAGACCGCCAGCUAAGGUCCCAAAGUCAUGGUUAAGUGGGAAACGAUGUGGGAAGGCCCAGACAGCCAGGAUGUUGGCUUAGAAGCAGCCAUCAUUUAAAGAAAGCGUAAUAGCUCACUGGUCGAGUCGGCCUGCGCGGAAGAUGUAACGGGGCUAAACCAUGCACCGAAGCUGCGGCAGCGACACUGUGUGUUGUUGGGUAGGGGAGCGUUCUGUAAGCCUGUGAAGGUGUGUCGUGAGGCAUGCUGGAGGUAUCAGAAGUGCGAAUGCUGACAUAAGUAACGAUAAAGCGGGUGAAAAGCCCGCUCGCCGGAAGACCAAGGGUUCCUGUCCAACGUUAAUCGGGGCAGGGUGAGUCGACCCCUAAGGCGAGGCCGAAAGGCGUAGUCGAUGGGAAACGGGUUAAUAUUCCCGUACUUGGUGUUACUGCGAAGGGGGGACGGAGAAGGCUAUGUUGGCCGGGCGACGGUUGUCCCGGUUUAAGCGUGUAGGUGUGUGUUCCAGGUAAAUCCGGUUCACUUUAACACUGAGGCGUGACGACGAGGCACUACGGUGCUGAAGCAACAAAUGCCCUGCUUCCAGGAAAAGCCUCUAAGCAUCAGGUAACAUCAAAUCGUACCCCAAACCGACACAGGUGGUCAGGUAGAGAAUACCAAGGCGCUUGAGAGAACUCGGGUGAAGGAACUAGGCAAAAUGGUGCCGUAA
rnacentral:rRNA from 1 species